rnacentral:pre_miRNA from 1 species
UUAAAACACAGUCAUGAGUUUUUUUUGUCUAAUUUUGAUGGUUCGUUUUAUUUAAAAAAAAAUUUAGUAUUUUUGUUGUUAUUAGAUGAUAAAACAUAAAUAGUAUUUUAUUUGUGACUUAUGUUUUUUAAUUUUUUUCAAAAAAAAGUUAAAUAAAACGAAUAAUUAAAAUUGAAUACGGAAACUUAUAGCUACGUAUAAA